UGGGGAAUUUUGGACAAUGGGGGAAACCCUGAUCCAGCCAUCCCGCGUGUGCGAUGAAGGCCUUCGGGUUGUAAAGCACUUUUGGCAGGAAAGAAACGUCGCGGGUUAAUACCCCGCGAAACUGACGGUACCUGCAGAAUAAGCACCGGCUAACUACGUGCCAGCAGCCGCGGUAAUACGUAGGGUGCAAGCGUUAAUCGGAAUUACUGGGCGUAAAGCGUGCGCAGGCGGUUCGGAAAGAAAGAUGUGAAAUCCCAGAGCUUAACUUUGGAACUGCAUUUUUAACUACCGGGCUAGAGUGUGUCAGAGGGAGGUGGAAUUCCGCGUGUAGCAGUGAAAUGCGUAGAUAUGCGGAGGAACACCGAUGGCGAAGGCAGCCUCCUGGGAUAACACUGACGCUCAUGCACGAAAGCGUGGGGAGCAAACAGGAUUAGAUACCCUGGUAGUCCACGCCCUAAACGAUGUCAACUAGCUGUUGGGGCCUUCGGGCCUUGGUAGCGCAGCUAACGCGUGAAGUUGACCGCCUGGGGAGUACGGUCGCAAGAUUAAAACUCAAAUGAAUUGACGGGGG
rnacentral:rRNA from 1 species